rnacentral:rRNA from 1 species
UACGUAGGGCGCAAGCGUUGUCCGGAAUUAUUGGGCGUAAAGAGCUCGUAGGCGGUUUGUCGCGUCUGCUGUGAAAACCUAAGGCUCAACCUUGGGCUUGCAGUGGGUACGGGCAGACUAGAGUUCGGUAGGGGAUCACGGAAUUCCUGGUGUAGCGGUGAAAUGCGCAGAUAUCAGGAGGAACACCGGUGGCGAAGGCGGUGAUCUGGGCCGACACUGACGCUGUAGAGCGAAAGCGUGGGGAGCGAACAGG